AUGCUCGCCGACGACCUCCGGUGCCCGAACGCCUUCAUCGGGCUCGGGAAGUGCCACCCCCACCGCGCCUUCGUCGCCGCCGCCUUGGCCGCCACCGCCUUCGCCUCCACGGCCGUCGCGGAGACCGAGCUGGACCUCGCCAGCCCCAGCCUCUCCUCCUCGUCCUCCUCCUCCGCCGCGCCCCCGUCCUUGGCAGAGGACUUCCAGAACGGCGCCCACCCCCAGACCCUCGCCUUUCGCCUCCCGGAGGCCGCGACGGAGGCCAUCGUGGCGGAGGAGGACGCGGCGACGGACCGCGAGCGCGCCACCCGGUGCUCCCGCUCGAUGAGGCUGUGCACCCGGCCGACGGCGUCGCCGGACGCCGAGGAGGAGGAGGAUGGGGAGGCGCACGUGCAGGGGCAGGGCCGCACCCGCGCGCAGUUGGGGCAGAGCCGCAGCAGCCGGUCGCGGAGGCAGUACGGGCACACCCCGCCGCCGGAUCUCGCCGCGGGGUGCUUCCGGCACCGCCACUCGUCGCCCCCGACGGCGUCCGCGGCCACCGCUGCCUUCUCCGCCUUCAUCCGUGCGGUUGCUCUCGCUCGCCCGCUCUCUCUCUCUCUCUGCCUCGCGCUUCUUGGCGAGUGGAAGGAGGGGGGCGUUACGAAUACGAACUCACAGCGUCGCUGCGGGAAGGGGCGCGCCGGAGUGUGUAAUAAAGGAGGCACCGGCGGGGCUUAA
rnacentral:rRNA from 1 species